rnacentral:rRNA from 1 species
GACGUAGGGCGCGAGCGUUGUCCGGAUUUAUUGGGCGUAAAGAGCUCGUAGGCGGCUUGUCGCGUCGUCCGUGAAAACCUGUGGCUCAACUGCAGGCUUGCGGUCGAUACGGGCAGGCUGGAGUUCGGUAGGGGAGACUGGAAUUCCUGGUGUAGCGGUGAAAUGCGCAGAUAUCAGGAGGAACACCAGUGGCGAAGGCGAGUCUCUGGACAUUUCCUGACGCUGAGGCACGAAAGCCAGGGGAGCAAACGGG